UGCGCGCAUAGAGAACCUCACCUCUUCUCACUUUACCGAAGUCCCUCACCACCGUUGCUGACAUCCGUCGCACAUUUCCACCGCCGAAAAUCACCAUUGCCACCACCGCAAUACGAACAGAUUUAUUAAGGAAAGAAAAGAAAGGAAUCCGGAAGUGGAGUGUGCUAUUGCAACCAAAUUUGCAACAUUACCAUGGAGGCUGGACCGUCAGAGUGUCCUUACUGCCCUUAACGACUCACUGUGUCAACUUGGGCUUUCUUCAGUGGACCUCUAUCAAUUCCAUUGGCCAUGAGUAUGGGGAAAUGAAGGUCGUUCACUCAUAUCUGUCGUUUCGUUCAAUAAUGGGUUGACGUUGUAACUUGAAUUGGAUAUAUAUCAACCAUGCUAAGGUUCAGAAGAGGCUUAAUUUAUUGGAAAAUCAUCAAUGCUAUGGAGCAGGGUCUCGUGAAGGCUAUUGGGGUUUCCAACUAUAAUGGUACAUUGUAACAUUGUCAUUUUCAGUUGCUCCUUAUUAUCUAGGUUACACUUAUUGAAAUAUGCUAUGGUACCCUAAUAAUCAAUUAGGGACUGCCCUAUACAUAUUGAAAGCCCUUUAUGUCGUUUUUGGAGCCUCUAGAGGCCUCUGAAUUGAGGGAUUCAUAAUUCGUGUGAAAUUUGUUAGGCUUUUAACCUUCAGACUUGCAAGAGUAAUGGCUUUGCUAUUCUUGCAGGUUUGGCUGGCAUCAAUAUUAGUCCGUGGACUCUAGGUGUUUAGUUUUUUUUUUUUCUAAU